ensembl:lncRNA
CACAAGUACAAUCAAAUUUAUUAUUAGAUUUUGAUUGGGUAUUUCACCUUCAUUAACAAGAUAGAGAUGAGUGAUGGGAAUGUGCCUACAUAAAGACCUUAUCGUGGCUCAUUAAAAAACAAGAAAAAAAAAAAAAGCUGAUGUUCAAGUUUAUAAAUAAUUAUAAACUUGAACAUCUAACAUGAUCAUCACUUGUUAAAUAAUACUUUCCAGUUUCCUUUCCAUAUCUUAUUUUUACAGAAUUAAAAGAUGUCUACUCUAAAAACAUCUUAGGUUAAAAAUUAGUACAAAAUAUAAUGCUUAUUAAAACUGACAAAUACUUCUUAAAAAGUACAAAAGGAGUUUAAUUGUGCCGACAAAUCCUGUUUGUCUCCUACAUGGUCAGUUCUCCGUGAAAGCUUUUCUUCUCAUUUUCGCCUGAAUGAAAACCUACAAACAGAAAGGUCAGAGUUAGCUGAAGGAGCGCUGGUGAACAUGGAGCACGCAAACAACGCUGCAUCACGGGAGGCUGUGAUUACUGACGGAAGCAUUUUGGCAGAGGCGUACUCUCUCUCUGCGUCUCAUUCACUGCUCAGACAAACAUCCUGAGCGUCAGCAUGAAUUCACCCAGUCACAAGUAUAUCAUUAGGAGACAGGAGACGGGCUGUGAGAACAAUCUCCCUGCUAGCUUAUUACAGCAUCAUGUGGUUGCUGCUCAGAAUUCUUCUGAAUCCUUUCCAUUUGAGGUGCACGGCUUAAAACAAGGCCUACUUUUACUUCCUUUUUUCCGCUUUCUUUAUAUUAUUUUUAGUCAUCUGUAAAUACUUUUGUUGGUAAACCGAGCCAGCUUGUUACUCACAGUUUGCCUAUGGUCGUCUUCUCUUCUUUCGUGUCGUUUAUCAUGGCUGGUCUGUGCUCUGUAGCUGCAGGUGUCUCCACCUGCCAUGGUGGAGAUGGAGACACCUCCACCAUGGCUGGUUCAGCUUGUGGCAGGAUCCCACUGCAGGAGAACGGGGAUAUUUAUGAUCACUAAGAGUAUUUUAUAAGACAGGCUAAUAUUUCAUUUUAUGAGACAUGAUCGAUCUUGCUGCUUUAAAAUGACAACAAAUUAAAAAAAACAUGAUGUGAUUGACAAUGAAAUGUGAGGCUUCUAUAAUAUGCAUAUAUCCUUUUGCAUUCAUUGGCUAGUUGUGGUUCUUAUAUUUGUGCACUCAGUGUUAUAAUUACAUAGUC